UGGUCUUAGCUUGCUAAGGCCGAUGGCGACCGGCGCACGGGUGAGUAACACGUAUCCAACCUGCCGUCUACUCUUGGACAGCCUUCUGAAAGGAAGAUUAAUACAAGAUGGCAUCAUGAGUCCACAUGUUCACAUGAUUAAAGGUAUUCCGGUAGACGAUGGGGAUGCGUUCCAUUAGAUAGUAGGCGGGGUAACGGCCCACCGUGCCGACAACGGGUAGCCGGGUUGAGAGACCGACCGGCCAGAUUGGGACUGAGACACGGCCCAGACUCC
rnacentral:rRNA from 1 species